UACAGAGGUCUCAAGCGUUGUUCGGAUUCAUUGGGCGUAAAGGGUGCGUAGGCGGCGCGGUAAGUCGGGUGUGAAAUCUCGGAGCUUAACUUCGAAACUGCAUUCGAUACUGCCGUGCUUGAGGACUGGAGAGGAGACUGGAAUUUACGGUGUAGCGGUGAAAUGCGUAGAUAUCGUAAGGAAGACCAGUGGCGAAGGCGGGUCUCUGGACAGUUCCUGACGCUGAGGCACGAAGGCCAGGGGGAGCAAACGGG
rnacentral:rRNA from 1 species